rnacentral:rRNA from 1 species
CAAUAGCGUAUAUUAACGUUGUUGCAGUUAAAAAGCUCGUAGUUGGAUUUCUGGAGGGAGCGUCGGCCCGUAUUUACGAGUGCGUGACGUCUCUGUCCAUCCUUGCGGGAAGGCACGGCGUUGAUUUGUUGUGUCGGAUCGCAUCAUUUACUGUGAAAAAAUUAGAGUGUUCAAAGCAGGCUUUCGCUUGAAUACAUUAGCAUGGAAUAAUAAGAUAGGACUUUGGUGCUGUUUUGUUGGUUGAGCCUAAAGUAAUGAUUAAUAGGGAUAGUUGGGGGCACCUGUAUUGCGUUGUCAGAGGUGAAAUUCUUGGAUUUACGCAAGACAAACAGCUGCGAAAGCGUCUGCCAAGGAUGUUUUCAUUAA